rnacentral:rRNA from 1 species
UGGGGAAUUUUGGACAAUGGGCGAAAGCCUGAUCCAGCAAUGCCGCGUGUGUGAAGAAGGCCUUCGGGUUGUAAAGCACUUUUGUCCGGAAAGAAAUCCUUGGCUCUAAUACAGUCGGGGGAUGACGUACCGGAAGAAUAAGACCGGCUAACUACGUGCCAGCAGCCGCGGUAAUACGUAGGGUGCAAGCGUUAAUCGGAAUUACUGGGCGUAAAGCGUGCGCAGGCGGUUUGCUAAGACCGAUGUGAAAUCCCCCGGGCUCAACCUGGGAACUGCAUUGGUGACUGGCAGGCUAGAGUAUGGCAGAGGGGGGUAGAAUUCCACGUGUAGCAGUGAAAUGCGUAGAGAUGUGGAGGAAUACCGAUGGCGAAGGCAGCCCCCUGGGCCAAUANUGACGCUCAUGCACGAAAGCGUGGGGAGCAAACAGGAUUAGAUACCCUGAUAGUCCACGCCCUAAACGAUGUCAACUAGUUGUUGGGGAUUCAUUUCCUUAGUAACGUAGCUAACGCGUGAAGUUGACCGCCUGGGGAGUACGGUCGCAAGAUUAAAA